UAAAAGAGCCAUAUUAACUGGACACAAUCUCAACAAGGAAGGAUGUGAGAGUCUCGUGAGGUCUCUUAUAGGAAGUGGGGUGAACAACAAGGCACAAACUGUAUAUUCUUGGCUCAGCUCCUGAAGAUAUAUAAGGGUCCCCCUAGAAGAAGGUGACAUCCAACCUCCCUCACAUCCUGAGACUCCCUCCUCACCUCUCCUGAGUCCUCUCUACUGACACCAUGGGCUGCUGUGGUUGUGGAAGUUGUGGUGGCUGCGGUGGCGGCUGCGGUGGUGGCUGUGGUGGCGGCUGUGGUGGUGGCUGUGGUGGUGGCUGCAGUGGCAGCUGUGGCAGCUGCAACAGCUGCAGAUGCUACCGGGUGGGCUGUUGCAGCAGCUGCUGCCCCUGCUGCUGCGGCUGCUGUGGGGGCUGCUGCAGCGUCCCCGUGGUCUGCUGCCACCGCCGCACCUGCAGCUGCCACUCGUGUGGGAAGGGCUGUUGCCAGCAGAAGAGCUGCUGCUGCCAGCAGAAGUGCUGCUGCCAGAAGCAAUGCUGCCACUAGUCACACAUGGAUAUUUUAUUCAAAGUCAUCCAAGAAAAAUGAUGGAGGACAUUUUGCUUACUAAGCUCAGCAAAAUGAGGUAAUGAUUCUCACUUUUUUUGUGAAGUUCUUUUCUGUCUUUGCCUUGUCUUCUUGUUUUUACCAUAAAUAUCUGUCCUUCCUGUGGCCAAAGAGUUUUUUUUAAUAGAUGAUGUCCUAAAAAUGUCUUAAUAAAAUACCAAAAUGAAUUCUGAACAUUUGCUCUUGUUUUAUCCUUAGAGAUAUUCUUAUUAAAGUGGUGUUAAUUAUAGUUUCCCAUGGCUUGGGGCUGUCAAGGAUACACGAAUAAUUAUGCCCUGGUGUGGUUUACACUUUUAUUUACUCUACAAUCCAGCCAUACACAAAUAACCAUGAACACAAGACAGAAUAACAAUAAACAUACCAGGAGACCAUGAUGUCAUGUAUCACGGCAGGAGGGACUCCUCAUUGUUGGGUGAGAAAAGGGUGCAGCGAGUAGAGUGACUUCAAGAAAGAGAUGGCAUUUUGAGCUGUUUUACAGAAUUAGUAAGAUUGUGACAAGUGGAGAUAGUUAGAGCUGGACAUGGAACAACAGACUGGUUCCAAAUAGGAAAAGGAGUACUUCAAGGCUGUAUAUCGUCACCCUUCUUAUUUAGCUUAUAUGCAGAGUACAUCAUGAGAAACACUGGACUGGAAGAAACACAAGCUGGAAUCAAGAUUGCCAGGAGAAAUAUCAAUAACCUCAGAUAUGCAGAUGACACCACCCUUAUGGCAGAAAGUGAAG
ensembl:lncRNA